AUCAGUUUAAAAUCAAGGACCUUGGGUCCUUGCAUUAUUUCUUGGGGAUUCAGAUGUCUCAUGUUCCUGGUGGAAUGAUCCUCAAUCAGCAGAAAUAUGUUUCUGACAUGUUGCAUCAGUUUGACUGUUCCAAUGUGUCUUCUGUUGUCUGUCCUUUGGAUGCGAAUGUCAAACUUCUUGCUGAUUGUGGUGACCUCUUACCCUCUCCUGAUCAAUUUAGGAGUUUAGUGGGUAAGCUUUUAUUUUUGACACAUACUAGACCUGAUAUCUGUUUUGCUGUUCAACAUCUAAGUCAGUUCCUCAAGUGUCCUCGAGUACCUCAUAUGAAUGCUGCUCUUCAUGUGUUGCGAUAUCUUAAAGGCACUUCCUCUAUGGGCCUCUUCUACUCUGCCAAUGCCUCGAGUACCUCAUAUGAAUGUUGCUCUUCAUGUGUUGCAAUAUCUUAAAGGCACUUCCUCUAUGGGCCUCUUCUACUCUGCCAAUAAUUAUUUUUCUUUAAGUGGUUAUUCCGACAGUGAUUGGGCUGCUUGCCCUGACACCAGAAGGUCCAUUACUGGGUUUUCUGUUCUUCUGGGUGGUUCUUUGGUCAGUUGGAAAUCUAAGAAACAACCUGUUGUAUCUUUAUCAUCUGCUGAGGCAGAGUAUCGGGCUUUA
rnacentral:lncRNA from 1 species